GAUGAACGCUGGCGGCGUGCCUAAUACAUGCAAGUCGAGCGAACAGACGAGGAGCUUACUCCUCUGACGUUAGCGGCGGACGGGUGAGUAACACGUGGAUAACCUACCUAUAAGACUGGGAUAACUUCGGGAAACCGGAGCUAAUACCGGAUAACAUGUUGAACCGCAUGGUUCAACAGUGAAAGACGGUCUUGCUGUCACUUAUAGAUGGAUCCGCGUCGCAUUAGCUAGUUGGUAAGGUAACGGCUUACCAAGGCAACGAUGCGUAGCCGACCUGAGAGGGUGAUCGGCCACACUGGAACUGAGACACGGUCCAGACUCCUACGGGAGGCAGCAGUAGGGAAUCUUCCGCAAUGGGCGAAAGCCUGACGGAGCAACGCCGCGUGAGUGAAGAAGGUCUUCGGAUCGUAAAACUCUGUUAUUAGGGAAGAACAAAUGUGUAAGUAACUAUGCACGUCUUGACGGUACCUAAUCAGAAAGCCACGGCUAACUACGUGCCAGCAGCCGCGGUAAUACGUAGGUGGCAAGCGUUAUCCGGAAUUAUUGGGCGUAAAGCGCGCGUAGGCGGUUUUUUAAGUCUGAUGUGAAAGCCCACGGCCCAACCGUGGAGGAUCAUUGGAAACUGGAAAACUUGAGUGCAGAAGAGGAAAGUGGAAUUCCAUGUGUAGCGGUGAAAUGCGCAGAGAUAUGGAGGAACACCAGUGGCGAAGGCGACUUUCUGGUCUGUAACUGACGCUGAUGUGCGAAAGCGUGGGGAUCAAACAGGAUUAGAUACCCUGGUAGUCCACGCCGUAAACGAUGAGUGCUAAGUGUUAGGGGGUUUCCGCCCCUUAGUGCUGCAGCUAACGCAUUAAGCACUCCGCCUGGGGAGUACGAUCGCAAGGUUGAAACUCAAAGGAAUUGACGGGGACCCGCACAAGCGGCGGAGCAUGUGGUUUAAUUCGAAGCAACGCGAAGAACCUUACCAAAUCUUGACAUCCUCUGACCCCUCUAGAGAUAGAGUUUUCCCCUUCGGGGGACAGAGUGACAGGUGGUGCAUGGUUGUCGUCAGCUCGUGUCGUGAGAUGUUGGGUUAAGUCCCGCAACGAGCGCAACCCUUAAGCUUAGUUGCCAUCAUUAAGUUGGGCACUCUAAGUUGACUGCCGGUGACAAACCGGAGGAAGGUGGGGAUGACGUCAAAUCAUCAUGCCCCUUAUGAUUUGGGCUACACACGUGCUACAAUGGACAAUACAAAGGGUAGCGAAACCGCGAGGUCAAGCAAAUCCCAUAAAGUUGUUCUCAGUUCGGAUUGUAGUCUGCAACUCGACUACAUGAAGCUGGAAUCGCUAGUAAUCGUAGAUCAGCAUGCUACGGUGAAUACGUUCCCGGGUCU
rnacentral:rRNA from 1 species